rfam:Picea glauca, whole genome shotgun sequence.
ACAUGCCUACAAUAUAGCGUUAAUGCACGAGAUCCCAUUAUAACUCCGUAGUUAAGCGUGCUCAGGCUAGUGUAGUACUGGGAUGGGUGACCACCCGAGAAGUCCUAGUAUUUUACAUGCC